rnacentral:rRNA from 1 species
CGCACGGGUUGCGUAACACGUAUGCAAUCUGCCCCUAACAGGGGAAUAGCCCGGCGAAAGUCGGAUUAAUACCCCAUAACAAUGCGAACCGGCAUCGGUUUGUUUUUAAAGCUCCGGCGGUUAGGGAUGAGCAUGCGCGNNNNNNGCUAGAUGGCGGGGUAACGGCCCACCAUGGCUACGAUGUCUAGGGGGUCUGAGAGGAUUUUCCCCCACACUGGUACUGAGACACGGACCAGACUCCUACGGGAGGCAGCAGUAGGGAAUAUUGGGCAAUGGACGCAAGUCUGACCCAGCCAUGCCGCGUGAAGGAUGAAGGCCCUAUGGGUUGUAAACUUCUUUUGUACGGGAAGAAACCCCUCUACGUGUAGGGGGCUGACGGUACCGUAAGAAUAAGGAUCGGCUAACUCCGUGCCAGCAGCCGCGGUAAUACGGAGGAUCCAAGCGUUGUCCGGAUUUAUUGGGUUUAAAGGGUGCGUAGGCGGAUUAUUAAGUCAGAGGUGAAAGUUUGCAGCUUAACUGUAAAAUUGCCUUUGAAACUGGUAGUCUUGAGUAUAGUUGAGGUGGGCGGAAUGUGUCAUGUAGCGGUGAAAUGCUUAGAUAUGAUACAGAACACCGAUUGCGAAGGCAGCUCACUAAACUGUAACUGACGCUGAGGCACGAAAGCGUGGGGAGCAAACAGGAUUAGAUACCCUGGUAGUCCACGCCCUAAACGUUGAAUACUCGUUGUUGGCGAUAUACAGUCAGCGACUAAGCGAAAGCAUUAAGUAUUCCACCUGGGGAGUACGACCGCAAGGUUGAAACUCAAAGGAAUUGACGGGGGCCCGCACAAGCGGAGGAGCAUGUGGUUUAAUUCG